GAUGAACGCUGGCGGCGUGCUUAACACAUGCAAGUCGAACGAAGCACUUUAUUUGAUUUCCUUCGGGACUGAUUAUUUUGUGACUGAGUGGCGGACGGGUGAGUAACGCGUGGGUAACCUGCCUUGUACAGGGGGAUAACAGUUGGAAACGGCUGCUAAUACCGCAUAAGCGCACGGCACCGCAUGAUGCAGUGUGAAAAACUCCGGUGGUAUAAGAUGGACCCGCGUUGGAUUAGCUAGUUGGUGAGGUAACGGCCCACCAAGGCGACGAUCCAUAGCCGACCUGAGAGGGUGACCGGCCACAUUGGGACUGAGACACGGCCCAAACUCCUGCGGGAGGCAGCAGUGGGGAAUAUUGCACAAUGGGCGAAAGCCUGAUGCAGCGACGCCGCGUGAGCGAAGAAGUAUUUCGGUAUGUAAAGCUCUAUCAGCAGGGAAGAUAAUGACGGUACCUGACUAAGAAGCACCGGCUAAAUACGU
rnacentral:rRNA from 1 species